rnacentral:rRNA from 1 species
GAGAAUGACAGGCCAGCAGCAGCUGUAGUACUGACGUUGCGCGCGUUGGACGGAAGUACUGUGCGCUAAGCGCACUUUGCCGACUUUAUUAGUCAGAGGUGAAAUCCCGAAGCCUAAAUCCGGAAUCGCCUUUGAGAAUUCAUCGCUUGAAUCCAGGAGAGGUGAGGGGAAUUACGAGUGUAGAGGUGAAAUUCGUCGAUAUUCGGAAGAACACCAGUGGCGAAGGCGGCUCACUGGACUGGUAUUUACGCUGAGGUGCGAAAGCGUGGGGAGCAAACAGGAUUAGAUACCCGUGUAGUC